rnacentral:rRNA from 1 species
UAGGGAAUCUUCGGCAAUGGACGAAAGUCUGACCGAGCAACGCCGCGUGAGUGAAGAAGGUUUUCGGAUCGUAAAACUCUGUUGUUAGAGAAGAACAAGGACGUUAGUAACUGAACGUCCCCUGACGGUAUCUAACCAGAAAGCCACGGCUAACUACGUGCCAGCAGCCGCGGUAAUACGUAGGUGGCAAGCGUUGUCCGGAUUUAUUGGGCGUAAAGCGAGCGCAGGCGGUUUCUUAAGUCUGAUGUGAAAGCCCCCGGCUCAACCGGGGAGGGUCAUUGGAAACUGGGAGACUUGAGUGCAGAAGAGGAGAGUGGAAUUCCAUGUGUAGCGGUGAAAUGCGUAGAUAUAUGGAGGAACACCAGUGGCGAAGGCGGCUCUCUGGUCUGUAACUAACGCUGAGGCUAGAAAGCGUGGGGAGCAAACAGG